AGAAAAGGGAGCAAAAAAGUUAAAGUUGUUUUUCUCUGAUAAGUUGAAUCACACAAAAAAAGACUUUUCUGUUGGGUGAAUCUGAGACUUUUUGGAAAGAGAAAGAAAGAAGUAUCAAUUUAACCUAAACUCUCUGCUGUUCAAAAAACAAUAUUGGUCAUAACCAACCAAGUGAAGCUAAAGUUGGAUGUACUUCAGUAAAAGCAGGAAGAGUGUUCGCCUGUUGAGUCACAAAGUUUACUAUCACACUUUUUUUAAGCUCUUGUCAGCAGCUAUCUAUUUUCAGUCUGAGCUUUUACAGGAAAUAUUCUAGUUUCGUCUCUUUUGCUCAGUUCCAUGAUUUCAAUAAAGGGAACUUCAACAAAGCUAGCGAACGGUGCUUAUGAUGAACUACAUGAUUACGCUCACGCCGCAGACCUUGACCCACAACACUGAAGCAGCACUUCAAGACCAUGUAUACCAAUGGCACAGGAGGAAAUAACACAGUCAGUGACAGUUCCUCCAACUCUUCUACAAAUCUAGGAGUCGGGCUUGGAGUCUUCUUUUUGCUGCUUGCGAUCAUAGUUGGUGUAAUCAUUUAUAAAUUCUACGGUAUAAUCGCCAAUGUGAUGCCGUUUAGACAAAGAACAGCGCAAGAAAAGGAGGAUCACUCAGAGACCCCACAAGCAGAUUCCCAUGAAUAUACUGGUAUGAUUCGAGAGCAGUCAAUAGGACAAUCUUCUAUCUAUGAAAACCUGAAACCUCAAACUUGCGGCUACAGCAUGGCAGCUUCAAACCAAAGCAGGUUCCCAGUCGAACCUGAUGACGACGUGUACCUGCAGUGCGACGUCAUAGAUGAGGCCAUAUACAUUAAUGACCAAUCACAUGACUGUCAAGAAGAAGACGUGUACGUUUUGCCAGAUUAAUCACGGGACACAUUUGUAGAAAGGCCUGCGCAUUUUGCUCCAGUUGUUGUAUGCAGCAAGCCGUCUCUUUUGAUUUCUGUCUCUGUUUUUGUAUAACGAUGUACAGCUAAAAGUCAGCAUACUGCUACUGCUGCUUUUUGAUACAGACUGACUGUAAACAGAAAUGACUGGAUGGUAGCAACAUGUCAGUGUUAUCUGUUAUCUCCCAUUUUGGAGGAGAGUAACAAACCUUUUUUUUUUUAAUUUAAUCCACUCCCUCCUGGUACGAUUAUCUAUGUUACACAUGUUUGAUUGCUACUAUUAUUGGCACAUCUCAUAUCACAACCACGCUGGAAAACACUGUACAAAUUUUGACAGCAGUCCAAGGUAAUCAAGUUUGUGAUUAGAUUAGAUUGUUUUAUGGUGUUCUCUUGUAGUUACAGAUGAGGCUUUACUUUGACCUUUGGAGAGAAGUGUGGGCAGUCUAUCUGAGGUUUUGUGAGUCGUGUGUGUUCAGUAUUGUCCUUUUUCUCUCACUGGAAAUUCUUCACUUGGUCCUAAAUCAAAUCUAGAAACAUUUAACUUGCGUAGAUAUUGACAUCCUGUUAUGUUUUUAGUAUUUUGCUAAACAAUGCGUCCAAAAUAAAUCCAAGGUUUUAAAAAUCAAACUACAGAUAUGGAUAUGGACACACAUAUCUUUGGAAUUCCCCUUUUUGUGCAAAAACGUUUAACUACACACUGAAUCUUUGAGAUAUCUUCAUAUGAGAAAAAAUGAAGUGCAGUUUCAACAGUACAUCUCAGUUUUCUGCUGGAGUAAAGAAAAAAAUAUACUAACAUGAAGAAAUAAAUGUGUAAAAUUACCUAAAAGGUUCUGGCAGAUUAUUGCAAAGACUGUCCUGCAAUAAUAAAGCAAAGUCAUUUAUUUUUUUUAGUUUUGUUGUUUUUGUUUGUUUUUUAUUGUGGACCCACUAAAAAAAUGCUCUCAAUUUCUAUCAAUUAAUUGUUUUUCUAUAACUUAAUUACUUUUAGCGCAGUCUAAAUGGCCAUGGGGGAGGUCUCUAUCAGUAGUUAAAGCUGUAAAACUAACAAAAAAUACAGUGAGAAGUCCAAAAUCAAUGCUCUCCUUCACAUUUUCCAGUGGGGCUGGAUUGGAGUCUUGGGCGUGCCAAUUCUGGCCCCCAGGACUUCAGUUUGACACCCCUGGCCAAACACAGGUUGCAGUGGUUUCUCUGAAUUUUUUUCCUGUUUGAAUAAGGAAAACUAUUUUGCUGACCAAGUCAUCAUAAAAUUCAGCAGCAAUUUAAACUAAAGGUCAUGUAGUUAUGGAAUAGCAACCAGCGGCGAGACCAAUCAUUUUUCAUAUCACAGACAUGAUAUCAUAGUAUAUUUACCCUAGACAAAGAAAUAUGUGUGCUUUCAAACAUGUUAUCACGGACGGACAGACAGGCAGACACGGCACCCAAACUUUUCUCUGUGGUUGUUGUUGCUAAAGCAAAUGACUCAACAGUUUGUUGCAGUUACACACAGACGCAACUCUGCAUGGUGAAAACAUUACAUGCUUUAGACCCGAUAAAGUUAAAUGAUGUUUCAAAAUACUAAAACUUUUAUUUAAAUUAGAAAUUAAAAAAGGGACAAGAUAAGUGAGAAGCUCGAUGGCUCCCACGUGAUAUAUUUCUGGGAUUUACUCUAGCGUGGGAGUGUAAAGGCAGCCAACCAGAUGUGUGGGAUUUAUUACUCCAGUUCAUGCUAUAAGAUGCAAGAUAAGAUGCAAAGAGCAGAAUUUAAAAAAAAUUCUUAUCACUUUCCUUUAAAAUGAUAAGCCAAUGAGGCUUUACAAACACUAUAUUAGGAACCAAAAAACUCAUGAUUAGUAGUAACUGCUACACAAAAAUGUUCAUAUAAAACAGAAAGCAUGUGGUUUAUGCAAAGGCAGGAAAAGAUGCAAUGGUCAGCACUAUUUUAUCUAGUCUGUGGGUUGUCGGCUUUUUCAGGCGCGAGGUCCAGAGAGGAUGUGAAAAUCUGUCGUUCUUUUUACAGCUCGAGUCCAGAUCUGCGCGGAUUUCAGAGAGCAAUCGAAAUAUGAAAGCCACAGAAUAACAAAUGAGGUAGGCUAUUUGAGGAUCUGAAGGAAGGGAAUGCCCAACCGAAAGCCUGUGUGUCUCAGGCCACGCACACACACACAGAGCACGGUUUAGUAAAUGCUCUGCUUGCUUGUAUCGUUUGGGUGGAAUGCAGCUCAAAACCUUUCAGCACAUGAGAAUGAAUGCCUUUCCAUCCAUUCACACAUGACUGUGUAGCAACCCUGAAGAUGUCAUCUUUGAAACAAAGCGUUAACAGGACAAAAGCUAAGAAAAGAAUGAGCAGUGACUCAAUUGAGAGGCCCAACAGAUGUUCCAGUAGGUCUGCUUAAUCAUCUAUUAACUCAAUGAGCUCAGUAUGUCCCACUUUUUAAAAAAAGCUCGGUCUAUUGAUCGCAAAGCAGCAUGGGCUCCUGUUUAACUGACCUUUAUCCCUUUCAAGAUAAAAAAAAAACAAAAAACCUAUAAAGCACUUAUUACAGCCAGUUGUGUCAAGCCAGAUAUCAAUUUGCUCACUUUGUACCACAGGAUAUGUUAAUAUUUCCUUUUCACCCUAAACCUUGAGCUGUAAUUAUGAAUUCAGGGUUUUUUUAAGCUUCUUUUAAGUUAUUUUUCAAGUUACUUGA